GAAAUGCGAUAAGUAAUGUGAAUUGCAUAAUUCAGUGAAUCAUCGAAUCUUUGAACGCACAUUGCGCUCGCCAGUAUUCUGGCGAGCAUGCCUGUUCGAGCGUCAUUUCAACCAUCAAGCUCUGCUUGCUUUGGGGAUCCGCGGCUGCCCGCGGUCCCUCAAAAACAGUGGCGGGCUCGCUAGUCACACCGAGCGUAGUAACUCUACAUCGCUAUGGUCGUGCGGCGGGUUCUUGCCGUAAAACCCCCAAUUUCUAAGGUUGGCCUCGGAUCAGGUAGGAAUACCCGCUGAACUUAAGC
rnacentral:misc_RNA from 1 species